UACGAAGGGGGCUAGCGUUGUUCGGAAUCACUGGGCGUAAAGCGCACGUAGGCGGAUUGCUAAGGUCAGGGGUGAAAUCCUGGAGCUCAACUCCAGAACUGCCCUUGAUACUGGGCGGUCUCGAGUCCGGGAGAGGUGAGUGGAACUGCGAGUGUAGAGGUGAAAUUCGUAGAUAUUCGCAAGAACACCAGUGGCGAAGGCGGCUCACUGGCCCGGUACUGACGCUGAGGAGCGAAAGCGUGGGGAGCGAACAGG
rnacentral:rRNA from 1 species